rnacentral:rRNA from 1 species
GACGAACGCUGGCGGCGUGCCUAAUACAUGCAAGUAGAACGCAUUUGCGAACGGGUGAGUAACGCGUAGGUAACUGCCUCAUAGCGGGGGAAAACUAUUGGAAACGUUAGCUAAUCCCGCAUACUGUGAGAUGGACCUGCGUUGUAUUGGCUAGUUGGCGGGGUAACGGCUCACCAAGGCGACGAUACAUAGCCGGCCUGAGAGGGUGUACGGCCCAACUUGGACGUGUGAGCGGCGCAGGAACCGUGGGGGGGCAGGAGGAGGGGAUCUUCGGCAAUGGACGGAAGUCUGACCGAACAACGCCGCGGGAGUGGAGGAGGUGUUCGGGUCGGAAAGCUCUGUUGUUAGAGAAGCGGUAACUACCCAGAAAGGGACGGCUAACUACGGGCCAGCAGCCGCGGUAAUAC